rnacentral:lncRNA from 1 species
AGACACUUUGAAAUCUAAUAUACCUGAGGAUCUUUUUAAAGGUAGUUUCUCCUCUUUCUAAAGAUCAACUUCUCUCACAGCCAAGAUUGUCCUUUUGCUAACUCUCUAGCUGUUACAAAUGAGGGAAAAACAUUAUUCACCUCUUUGCCUUUUCCUUUUGAUUCUCUUUUUAGUCUGUGUUAUUCCUGGGUUCAGAGACCCCCCCCUUCCAGAUUUGUUUGUUUGUUUGUUUGCUUUUUGUUGUUCUUGAUUUUACAAACAAUAGAUUUUCAUGGGGUUAAAAAAAUAUUAAAUGAUUCACAGACCUGGAAUCAAAUGAUUCACAGACCUGGAGCCUGUCUUUCUCCUGAGUAAAUGCUAAUCCCCAUAACUACCUGUGUAUGCCCUAUAACCUUCCGUGGACCAGGGGACCAUCCUCAAGCUAAAGUUCAGAAGAGUAGUGAAUGUGAAGAAAAUCUGAACUCCAUUCAACAAUAAAGGGCCACGUUCUACAGAGCAGCACAUCAGAAAGCUAAAUGUGACUUUGCUCGACACACUGGUGCUUAUCCUUGGGGGAUGUCAUGCUGGGCCUUUAUCGAGUAACUGGAAAACUUUCUUGAAGCCAUGGUUUCAUACUUAGUAGGAAGAUAAAUGGGAGGGGAAAAGGUGGCGAACAAGUAUUUGGGGUUAUCAUCAAAAAUCUCAUGCCUGCAAUAUUUUUCUCCCAUAACCUUGGAAACUUUCCCAGUUCAUUGUCAGUCCUAUUGUUAGCACGGUUCUGAGGGAUUUGUUCUUGCUAAAAUGAUUUUGUUUCAAAUGUUAUCUCUUGACCCUUAAUGCUCAGGUUCUUGUGGGUGUUAAUCAACCACAUCCAAUGUUAUCUUUCCGGGGGAGAAAGAGGAUGACUGCUCAGGAUUUAAACAAGCUGGCCUUGGGAGCCUCUAUAGAUUAGCUUCAAGUAGUCCAAGCUGAAGUCCUGUGGUUUUGCGUUUAAUGAUAAUAGUUGAUUAUAUAUGGCAUAAUUUUUCUGUCUGGCGUCCUACUCAGUCAUAACCAGAGACUUGAAAUAGUACUUUAAAGGUCUAAAAACCUAAAAGUGCUAAACUGGAGGUAUCUAUUUCUAGGUAGUUGACUUUUUGAAAGUGAUGAUCAGCCAUGCAACUGUUUUGUAUAUACUUUCUCUUGCACUUUUCUGUAUGCAAAUUAAAGCUAUAAAUUUACUCAUUUCAAUAAACUGGAAUGGCAAAAUCUACGGUGUCACCACCAAUUUAUUCUGAUGUUUGACCUUUUCUUUGAGUUGACCGUUAGGGAGCAAAGCGUACCAGUGUACAGUAAGUAAAUGUGAGUUACAGUACAUUCCAGAUUAUCAAUAAAGAAGAGAAAGUGGGAAGCUA